GGCCAUGGAGGCAAUACGAAGUUAGGGGAAGGCUGCACCACCUCAGAAUGGAGCCUGCCCUCACGCCAGGUGGUGGAGAAAAGUGUCUGUGAAGGAAAGCUCAUCUAGCUGCAGGACCCCGAUCCAGAUCAGUGCAGAGGUCAAAGGGCAUUGUCUUCCUCUUCAGUCCAGCUGCCAACAACAAAGUCAGACAUAUGUUAUCACCAUCACACAGGAAGCUGUGAGCCUGCUUGUGUUCAACAAAGUACAAAUACAGGAAGAACAUAAGGCUGGAAAUAAUGUAAUCACCUUGUUAAAAACAACCUGAAUAGCCACAGAGACCAAAAAGAGAAGUCCUUUUCAUAGACCAAGCAAGGAAUAAGCCAGAUUGGGAAUGUCAAGGCAGAAUGCAGUAAUUUGGCUUAGGAUCAUUAAAUCUGAAGAUUGUGUCACCCCUCUGGGAGGAUGGACAGCUUAAAUGAACAGAUGCCUGUUCCCCUGGACCUUCCAAUUGUUAAAGAGAACCAGGCAGAAUGUGAACCCUUCUUGCUGCAACCAACCCUCUUGCCUGUGGUCAGCCAGCCUGGGACCAGAGGGGAAGUUGUGGUAGAACCACUUGUGAUAUUUGGGAUGACAGACAUUGCCUAUGUUCCGCCUAUGUAGUGUCAUGUCUUCACAUGAAGUUGCUGGAGUACCUGUCCAUGGCAUUGGGCUGCAUCAGCAAAAGUAUAACCAGCACCAGUUGUUAGGCCACACAUGGAGCAUUGUGUCCAGAUUUAGUGGACACUUCAAGAGAGAGAAUGAAAAACUGAGAAAGGAUCUAGCAGGGAACUACCAAGAUGGUUACAAGGACAGAGAACUUGAACUGUGAAGAAAGGUUGAAGGUCUUCAGUUUGUUCAACUUAGAGAAAAGAAUGCUCAGAGGAAAAGUAAUCACAGUCUUGCAAUACUGGAAUGUAUUUAUAGACAAGACGGAGUUCUCUUUUCUGUCUUCAUCAGUGAGACAUUGCAAUAGAUUGCCCAGAGAAGUUGUGAACUGUCUCUCACAGGAAGUAAUGAAGACUUAGCUUCCCAGAACCCUGGAUAACCUAAUCUGCAGUCUCACUUUCAACAGGGGAUUGGACCAGAUGAUUUCUGUUUGUCCAUCCUACUCUAGGCUUUUCCACGGUUCUGAGAUCAAGAGAGCAUCCAUCUAUCACAGUAUGAAGCCUAGUCAGUGGCUAACAAAAUAUGGUGACCACAUCCACUAUGUGCAAAGUGAUCAAGUCUCUGAGAUCAUCCUUCACAUCUUUUUCCUUCAAAUAGUGUGGGGGGUGCCUUUGCUCUUUGCAGGUUCCUGCAUUUUGAGGAGGUCACUGGUGUUAUCCACAGCACCCAUCCAGGGCCCGACUCCAUGGUUUCUUCAUCGUCUUGGAGUGACAGUCUAUCUUUAGGGGACUUCUGAAGUGGAUUUAUGGAAAAUCUGACAGACCAGCAGAAGAGCCUGUGAUGCUUUCUUCUUCCAGAUCCAAUGGCCUGAAAGGGAACACAGGAAAACUCUUUCUAAAAAACACCAGGGCUGCUUGCAAUUUUUAGAUACCUGACUGCUUAGUAUGAGAGGCAGCAUAUGGC